rnacentral:rRNA from 1 species
AGUGAACGCUGGCGGUAGGCCUAACACAUGCAAGUCGAACGGCAGCACAGUAAGAGCUUGCUCUUACGGGUGGCGAGUGGCGGACGGGUGAGGAAUACAUCGGAAUCUACUUUUUCGUGGGGGAUAACGUAGGGAAACUUACGCUAAUACCGCAUACGACCUACGGGUGAAAGCAGGGGAUCUUCGGACCUUGCGCGAUUGAAUGAGCCGAUGUCGGAUUAGCUAGUUGGCGGGGUAAAGGCCCACCAAGGCGACGAUCCGUAGCUGGUCUGAGAGGAUGAUCAGCCACACUGGAACUGAGACACGGUCCAGACUCCUACGUGAGGCAGCAGUGGGGAAUAUUGGACAAUGGGCGCAAGCCUGAUCCAGCCAUACCGCGUGGGUGAAGAAGGCCUUCGGGUUGUAAAGCCCUUUUGUUGGGAAAGAAAAGCAGCAGGUUAAUACCCCGCUGUUCUGACGGUACCCAAAGAGUAAGCACCGGCUAACUUCGUG